rnacentral:rRNA from 1 species
UACGUAGGGGGCGAGCGUUGUCCGGAUUUAUUGGGCGUAAAGAGCUCGUAGGCGGUUGGGUAAGUCGGGUGUGAAAACUCAGGGCUCAACUCUGAGACGCCACUCGAUACUGCUCUGACUCGAGUCCGGUAGGGGAGCGUGGAAUUCCCGGUGUAGCGGUGAAAUGCGCAGAUAUCGGGAGGAACACCAGUGGCGAAGGCGGCGCUCUGGGCCGGCAUUGACGCUGAGGAGCGAAAGCCAGGGGAGCAAACGGG